ensembl:lncRNA
GUGGCCAGUGUAGACACUGUGGAGAGUGUCGAUACUGGGGAUCAGCCCUUGCCCUCCUCCACUUCUGACGCUGGGACACAAUGUUAUUUGAAGCCCCCCCGAUGGUCUCACGGCUCAUUGGCAGCAGUCAAGUUGGAGAACAUAAUGAUGAGGGCUGCCUUGCUGAAAGAUGUUCGUCAGCUGUCUCCACAGCACCAGACCUUCUCCCUGAGGCUUACCACUCCCUCAUCUUGCACUUCGCGCCCAAGCACACAGGGUUUUCAUACCUUGGGAUGUAUAGCAGGCUUCUCUUAGCGGCGCUGCAUUAUAAUCACAAUGCCAAUCGCGAGACAGCACGGAGAAGUGACGGGACGGAGAAGUACUGCGUGCGGUAUCCGCGCUUCAGAAAAGGUGCCCAUGUGGUGCGUCCCAUCAAAGAGGCAGCCUCAUACGGUUAUGCAACAUCAUUAAUGAAGGCCCUUCGGGAGAGCUACGCCAAUUCACCCGCGGUUCUUCGAGAGGUUGGCGCCAAUUUGUCCUCCGAUGCGCCCGCCCCCAUCGCCAAAUCCUUCGAACAGAUUCCUAAGGAGGAGGCCAUCAGCCUCUAACUAGCCCGGCAGUCACGCUUCAAGAAAACCUAAUUUCACAUUAUUAUUUUUUUCCACGGACAAGUCCAAUGAUUUAGUUGUUAUUAUUUGCAUGCUAUUUCUUUGUAUGUAAUUCAAAAUAAUUUGGUAAUCAUUUUACCUGUGCCUUGUCAACCUCUGUGUGCGGUGUUGUCUGGGCUCACUGUGUGUCUGCUUGAUGUGCUUUUGCAUGUAUCACUCUAUGUAUCACUGCAUGAAAUAGUGUGUGUGUGUGUGUGUGAGAGAAAGAGAACCAUCAACUGACCCUCGGGUAUGACUACACUAUUGCAGAAUUAAUUAGAAUUAGAAUUAAACAUUGCGGGUCUAGCCCUUCAUCAGUGUUCCUUGUAUGUUUUGUGCCUAACCAUUGUUUUAUAUAGAUUUAAUUCCAACCUGUGUCUUUGUUCAGUAACCAUUACAAGCAAUGCCAAUCAAC